rnacentral:lncRNA from 1 species
CCAGGCCGGACCGAAAUUAUCUGGGCGGUGCCCGGGAAGUCAGGGGGCUGGCCGAGGUCCCUCCUCCUGCGGGGCCGCGCUGGGCCUGUCGGAAGCGAGUCCCUCUCUGUACAGAAACUGGGAGGGAGCUGGUGCAGCCAGGGCCCCUCCUGCUGCAGAGCGCGGCUGGGUGUGAUCUAGUUUGAGGUUCUCCUGCUCCGGGGCGCGGCCGGGAGCCGGUUUGGUUGAAGCUCUCCCGCCGCAAAGGAGACCAGCUGUUGUUGAGGGUUUCUGGCCGGCCUGUGGGAAUCUGGGGCCUGCCCACCCAGACCCAGCCUCGCGUCUCUUUUCUUCCCUCAGGUUGUUAACGCCACCUACCCCGGGGGCUCUCUGUGCAGGAGGUGGUAGCCUAGGCCUCCCGGCAGCAGAACCAGGCAAGUGAGGCUUCCUUUACCCAGAGGCCACCCCAGCCUCAGAACUUGGACGCGUUUUCUUCCACUGCAAUUCUCAGAGGACUCGGGUGCUCUAUUUGCCUGAAGAAUAUGAGGUCUCUGUGAGAGAGAUUGGGACCCACCACGAAGGUGAUGACCAGAAGAGAGUGUCUGCAGAAUUAAGCUCAGAAAAGGAGUUCUCAGACCUCGCUGCAUUGGAAUCAGCAGAGUGCUCGAAAGAGACUCUUGGAAGUGGGAGAACAGUGGAAAGCUGCCUCUGGUGCCUUUGUGGCUCCAGCAGUUGCAGGUGCUGAGGUCCUGGCCCAUCUGCAACCACCGUGCUCCUGCUGACUGUGGCUAGGGGCUGCCCCCAGCAUACUCUCCGCGGAUCUCAGGACCUAUGAGAAACCCAGCACCUGGAAAAGCUUGAAGAGGAGAUGACACUGGUAGAGGAGACUAUCUGGACAUUUGAAGGCAGAGGUGAGAACUGCCACAAAUGUGAAGCAUGGGGAGAGCACGAUUUCCCCAAUAUGUGAGUGCUUUUUGAUUCUCCGGGGAAAUGGUUUUACAGAGAAAGUAGAACAAGAAAAAUGCUAGCAUUCGGUCCUGGGAGAAGAGUGAGCAUCUGCCUCCCGGAAGCAAUGAAUGAGAGUCCCGAGUCUCCGUGGGCCUCCAGCCCAGACGGUAGCUGUUCUGAGUUUCAAG